UCCCUGAGACCCUAACUUGUGAGUCCAUCCUCUUUUAAAUAUCACAAGUUAGGUUCUUGGGAUCU
rnacentral:pre_miRNA from 1 species